rnacentral:rRNA from 1 species
GACGUAGGGGGCCAGCGUUGUUCGGAAUUACUGGGUGUAAAGGGUUCGUAGGCGGUGCGGCAAGUUGGGAGUGAAAUCUCUGGGCUUAACCCAGAGGCUGCUUCCAAAACUGCUGUGCUUGAGUGUGGGAGAGGCGCGUGGAAUUGCAGGUGUAGCGGUGAAAUGCGUAGAUAUUCGGAAGAACACCAGUGGCGAAGGCGGCUCACUGGCCCGGUUCUGACGCUGAGGUGCGAAAGCGUGGGGAGCAAACAGG